rnacentral:rRNA from 1 species
UACAGAGGUGGCAAGCGUUGUUCGGAAUUACUGGGCGUAAAGGGCGCGUAGGCGGUCUUGUAAGUCUUGUGUGAAAUCCCUCGGCUUAACCUGGGAACUGCAUUUGUGACUGCAUCGCUGGAGUGCGGCAGAGGGGGAUGGAAUUCCGCGUGUAGCAGUGAAAUGCGUAGAUAUGCGGAGGAACACCGAUGGCGAAGGCAAUCCCCUGGGCCUGCACUGACGCUCAUGCACGAAAGCGUGGGGAGCAAACAGG